rnacentral:lncRNA from 1 species
AUGGGAAAGACUAGAGAUCUCUUCAAGAAAAUCAGAGAUACGAAGAGAACAUUUCAUGCAAAGAUGGGCUCAAUAAAGGACAGAAAUGGUAGGGACCUAAUAGAAGCAGAAGAUAUUCAGAAGAGGUGGCAAGAAUACACAGGAGAACUGUACAAAAAAGAGCUUCAUGAGCCAGAUAAUCAUGACGGUGUGAUCACUCAACUAGAGCCAGACAUCCUGGAAUGUGAAGUCAACUGGGCCUUAGGAAGCAUCACUAUGAAUAAAGGUAGUGGAGGGGAUGGAAUUCCAAUUAAGCUGUUUCAAAUCCGGAAAGAUGAUGCUGUGAAAGUGCUGCACUCAAUAUGCCAGCAAAUUUGUAAUACACAGCAGUGGCCACAGGACUGGAAAAUGUCAGUUUUCAUUCCAAUCCCAAAGAAAGGCAAUGCCAAAGAAUACUCAAACUACCACACAAUUGCACCCGUCUCACAGGCUAGCAAAGCAAUGCUCAAAAUUCUCCAAGCCAGGUUUCAGCAAUACGUGAACUGUGAACUUCCAGAUGUUCAAGCUGGUUUUAGAAAAGGCAGAGGAACCAGAGAUCAAAUUCCCAACAUCCACUGGAUCAUCAAAAAAGCAAGAGAGUUCCAGAAAAACAUCUAUUUCUGCUUUAUUGACUAUGCCAAAGCCUUUGACUGUGUGGAUCACAAUAAACUGUGGAAAAUUCUGAAAGAGGUGGGCAUACCAGACCACCUGACCUGCCUCUGGAGAAACCUGUAUGCAGGCGAGGAAGCAACAGUUAGAACUGGACAUGGAACAACAGACUGGUUCCAAACAGGAAAAGGAGUACGUCAAGGCUGUAUAUUGUCACCGUACUUAUUUAACUUACAUGCAGAGUAUAUCAUGAGAAAUGCCGGGCUGAGGGAAGCACAGGCUGGAAUCAAGAUUGCCAGGAGAAAUAGCAAUAACCUCAGAUGUGCAGAUGACACCACCCUUAUGGUAGAAAGUGAAGAAGAACUGAAGAGCCUCUUGAUGAAAGUGAAAGAGGAGAGUGAAAAAGUUGGCUUAAAGCUCAACAUUCAGAAAGCUAAGAUCAUGGCAUCCGGUUCCAUCACUUCAUGGCAAAUAGAUGGGAAAACAAUGGAAACAGUGGCUGACUUUAUUUUUCUGGGCUCCAAAAUCACUGCAGAUGGUGAUUGCAGCCAUGAAAUUAAAAGAUGCUUACUCCUCAUAUUCAAAAGCAGAGACAUUACUUUGCCAACAAAGGUCCGUCUAGUCAAGGCUAUGGUUUUUCCAGUGGUCAUGUAUGGAUGUGGGGGCUGGACUAUAAAGAAAGCUGAGCACCGAAGAAUUGAUGCUUUUGAACUGUGGUGUUGGAGAAGACUCUUGAGAGUCCCAUGGACUGCAAGCAGAUCCAACCAGUCCAUCCUAAAGGAGAUCAGUCCUGAGUGUUCAUUGAAAGGACUGAUGUUUAAGCUGAAACUCCAGUACUUUGGCCACCUGAUGCCAAGAGCUGACUCAUUUGAAAAGACCCUGAUGCUGGGUAAAACUGAGGGCAGGAGGAGAAGGGGACGACAGAGGAUGAGAUGGUUGGAUGGCAUCACUGACUCAGUGUACAUGGGUUUGGGUGCACUCCAGGAGUUGGUGAUGGACAGGCAGUCUGGUGUGGUGCAAUUCAUGGGGUCGCAAAGAGUCAGACACGACUGA